rnacentral:rRNA from 1 species
CGUGAAGGAUGAAAUCCCUCGGGAUGUAACUUACGACAAGAACGGGAAGAAUAAGUAAGAGCUAACAUCUCUUACGAUGACGGUACUGUUUGUAAGCUCCGGCUAACUCCGUGCCAGCAGCCGCGGUAAUACGGGGGGAGCAAGCGUUGUUCGGAUUUACUGGGCGUAAAGGGCGCGUAGGCGGCCACCGCAAGUCAGUUGUGAAAUCUCUGGGCUUAACCCAGAAAGGUCAACUGAUACUGCGGGGCUAGAGUGCAGAAGGGGCAACUGGAAUUCUCGGUGUAGCGGUGAAAUGCGUAGAUAUCGAGAGGAACACCUGCGGCGAAGGCGGGUUGCUGGGCUGACACUGACGCUGAGGCGCGAAAGCUAGGGGAGCGAACGGGAUUAGAUACCCCGGUAGUCCUAGCCUUAAACGAUGAAUGCUUGGUGUCUGGGGUUUUAUAGUCCCCGGGUGCCGUCGCUAACGCUUUAAGCAUUCCGCCUGGGGAGUACGGUCGCAAGACUG